UAUUUUACUCUCUCUAACUUUAGGAAUCAUGAUCGUCUCGUUGCAACAAAAAAAAACAGGGGUUGCAAAACACGAGAUCCGAUUGGCCGAAAUUUUAGACAAAGUUUUUUUUCUUUCUCUGGUGCUCGAGAGACGGUGAUGACGAAAACGAAGACAUGCUCUUUGCUUCUGCUGGGUCCUUUGUUGUUUGGAUUUUAAUCGGAAGAAUGGGUUUGACGGUGGUUGGAGUAGGCGCCGUGGUGUUGCUAUUGAAGGGAGACGUCAAGCAAACUGCCACCGUCGUAAGGCGUAACGUCAAGCACAUCCGUCACUAGCUCGAAGAAGAAUCCUCUGCCGCCUCCAAGUCGUAAUUCUGCUCUCUCUCUCUUGAUUCCUCUGCCGCCUCUGCUCUCUCUCCUUUGCGAAGGGCAGCUGAGGCCAUAAAAGAUAAAACCAAAGGAAAUAGAGACAAAGGUUCCGAAGAAGGACAUUCCAAAAGAGAAGGAUUAAGUGUACCACUAUAUAUAAUGGUUCUUUGGAUUGAAGUGGUAGAUUUGAAGAAUUUUUUUGAAAGAAUUUGACUUAAGUAUUAUCUUAAUUGAAUCUAAUAUGUUUCUGAUUUGGUAUUUUGUUUGCAUCGACGAGGAGAGUUCCAGGUAUGUUGCAGUACAACAGUUGGCUCUUGUUUUAAAUUCCCUGCUGGUGCAGAGGACAACAGUUGGCUCGUGCGUUCAUUCUGUGUGCUUGCUUCUGGUGCAGAGGUAAAAAGAGCUUUGUCAUACUCUCUUUUUUUUGUUUGUAAAUGACAGAGAGAGAAAGAAACUUUAGUGGAUUUCAUGGCUUGUAUGUUUCAGUUAACAAUGGGUUGUAGGUUUCUGUUAUGUGUCUUUGCGUGUACUUCAGGCAGAAAGUGCUGUUUCGGCGAUUUAUUGUAGUGGUAUUGUCUUGGGAGGGCUUCCAAUAAGGUAAGCCCGUCAAAGACGCCAGUAAGGCCACACCGCUCUGAUGUAAACUAAAGCUUAUCACUAUGUGUAUAGUGUUUGUUACUGUAUUAUCUGGAGUAGGACCUUCACAUUGACAGGAAUGACUUCUAUGGUGGAGAGUCUACUUCACUUUUCGACAAUCAGAUAACUUUGAUAUUUUAGCAGCAAUAAUGGUAGGGAGAGAGGUACACAUAAGAAGACAAAUCGUUUCUGUUUGAUUUACUUAAAUACCCACACAAGUCGAGAAGCUUUUUUCUUUCUUUCUUUGUGUUCGAGAAGCAGAGAGGGUUCCAGAA